UCCUACGGGAGGCAGCAGUGAGGAAUAUUGGACAAUGGGAGCAAUCCUGAUCCAGCCAUGCCGCGUGCAGGAAGACUGCCCUAUGGGUUGUAAACUGCUUUUAUACAGGAAGAAAAAGCCCGACGUGUCGGGUGUUGACGGUACUGUAAGAAUAAGGAUCGGCUAACUCCGUGCCAGCAGCCGCGGUAAUACGGAGGAUCCAAGCGUUAUCCGGAAUCAUUGGGUUUAAAGGGUCCGUAGGCGGGAUGAUAAGUCAGUGGUGAAAGUCUGCAGCUUAACUGUAGAAUUGCCAUUGAUACUGUUGUUCUUGAGUUAUUGUGAAGUGGUUAGAAUGAGUAGUGUAGCGGUGAAAUGCAUAGAUAUUACUCAGAAUACCGAUUGCGAAGGCAGAUCACUAACAAUACACUGACGCUGAUGGACGAAAGCGUAGGUAGCGAACAGGAUUAGAUACCCUGGUAGUCUACGCCGUAAACGAUGGUUACUAGCUGUUCGGGUUAAUUGAGACCUGAGUGGCUAAGCGAAAGUGAUAAGUAACCCACCUGGGGAGUACGUUCGCAAGAAUGAAACUCAAAAGAAUUGACGGA
rnacentral:rRNA from 1 species